GACGAACGCUGGCGGCGUGCCUAAUACAUGCAAGUCGAACGCAGUGGGGACGGGUGAGUCACACGUGGGUAACCUCCCAUCAGAGGGGAUAACACUUGGAAACAGGUGCUCAACCGAUACUGAUGUAUGGACCCGCGGUGCAUUAGCUAGUUGGUGAGGUAACGGCUCACCAAGGCCACGAUGCAUAGCGGACAUGAGAGGAGGAUCGGCCACACUGGGACUGAGACACGGCCCAGACUCCUACGGGAGGCAGCAGUAGGGAAGCUUCGGCAAUGGACGAAAGUCUGACCGAGCAACGCCGAGUGAGUGAAGAAGGUUUUCGGAUCGUAAAACUCUGUUGUUAGAGAAGCGGUAUCUAACCAGAAAGCCACGGCUAACUACGUGCCAGCAGCCGCGGUAAUUC
rnacentral:rRNA from 1 species